rnacentral:rRNA from 1 species
AGAGUUUGAUCCUGGCUCAGGACGAACGCUGGCGGCGUGCUUAACACAUGCAAGUCGAACGAUGAAAGUCGUUUUGAAAUCUUCGGAUUGAUAAACUUCUGGAUUAGUGGCGGACGGGUGAGUAACGCGUGAGCAAUCUGCCUUACACAAAGGGAUAGCCUCGGGAAACCGGGAUUAAUACCAUAUGAUAUCUAUUCACCGCAUGGCCUAUAGAUUAAAGAAUUUCGGUGUAAGAUGAGCUCGCGUCCCAUUAAUUAGUUGGUGAGGGUAACGGCCCACCAAGAUAGCGAUGGGUAGCCGAUCUAAGAGGAUGACCGGCCACAUUGGAACUGAGAAACGGUCCAAACUCCUACGGGAGGCAGCAGUGGGGAAUAUUGCACAAUGGGGGAAACCCUGAUGCAGCGACGCCGCGUGAGCGAUGAAGGCUUUCGAGUCGUAAAGCUCUGUCCUAUGGGAAGAUAAUGACGGUACCAUAGAAGAAAGCCCCGGCUAAUUACGUGCCAGCAGCCGCGGUAAUACGUAAGGGGCGAGCGUUGUCCGGAAUUAUUGGGCGUAAAGAGUGCGUAGGCGGCAAAUUAAGUCAGAUGUGAAAACUAAGGGCUCAACCCAUAGAUUGCAUCUGAAACUGAUAUGCUUGAGUCAAGGAGAGGAAAGUGGAAUUCCUAGUGUAGCGGUGGAAUGCGUAGAUAUUAGGAGGAAUACCGGUGGCGAAGGCGACUUUCUGGACUUGAACUGACGCUGAGGCACGAAAGCGUGGGGAGCAAACAGGAUUAGAUACCCUGGUAGUCCACGCCGUAAACGAUG